rnacentral:rRNA from 1 species
UACGUAGGGCGCGAGCGUUGUCCGGAAUUAUUGGGCGUAAAGAGCUCGUAGGCGGCUUGUCACGUCGGUUGUGAAAGCCCGGGGCUUAACCCCGGGUCUGCAGUCGAUACGGGCAGGCUAGAGUUCGGUAGGGGAGAUCGGAAUUCCUGGUGUAGCGGUGAAAUGCGCAGAUAUCAGGAGGAACACCGGUGGCGAAGGCGGAUCUCUGGGCCAUUACUGACGCUGAGGAGCGAAAGCGUGGGGAGCGAACAGG